UGCCUUUGGGAGAAAUUUAAGACUUGG
rnacentral:piRNA from 1 species